CUCAGACCUUGUGUCCCUUCUCAGAGCCCCUUGAUUGCCUGCCACACUGAUGGCAGCAUCACCAGCCCCAAACUGCUGGCACUCUACCAAGAUCCCCAGGCAUGGUUUUCACAUCUCACAUACCAAGACUUAUUUGCACCAAGUCUCAUUUUCACUUCUGGAACUUGAAUGAAAUGAUACACCAUGAAGCUUGAACUUGCUUUCUGACAGCCUCUGAGCACCUGGUGAUGCCACUCAGAUGCAGUGGAAUGAUUUCUGCAUGGGGUAAAUCUUGACCAUUGGGCAGCAGGAGAUGGCCAGAGUGAAGAAGAAACAAUUUUCUCUUCCUUUCUGCCUUCAAUACAAUACACAGAGGCCUGGAUUUUUCUUGUAACAUUUCCAGAGGACAUCCUACCUGAGCAGUCUGCUGUUUUCUUUAUGGCUUGAAAGAUUUGCACACCUUGGUGAUGCAUCACAUCAUAUGACUUCUCAUUUUUUUGGUCUCAUCUCCUUUUUCCUCACCCUUAACACCCUGGACUUGCACCUUCCAAAAAGGUGGCAGCACCUUCAUCCUUCUUUGGGCUCUAUAGAGAUCCAGAAUGAAGAUGAUGAAUCACAGAUUUCACCCCAAACUCUGAACAACGAGUUCACAAAAUUAAGGCAGGGGAUCUACACAAGGGACAUAAAUUAGAAAAGUUGGACAGUUGAAGAAGCCCCUUAUAUUUUGUUUCAUCUUCCAUCUCUGACUUCCACUUGUAUAUUUUUGCUUCUUUCUGAAAUGAAUGCAUUUCAGAAGUUUCUAUAGUAAGAAGUUCUCAGGGUUUUGUUUUUUUUUUCUGGUCAGAAGAAUGUCUUCAUUUUUUUCUUUUUUCUUAAAAAAUAAUUUUUUGCUGGGUACAGUUCUAAGUUGACAGCUAUUUUCUGUUAGCAGUUUGAAGAUCUUGUUCUAUUGUCUUCUGGUUUACAUUCUUGCUGUUGUGACCUGAGAUUGCACCACUGCACUCCAGCCUGGGCAACAGAGCGAGACUCCGCCUCAAAACAACAACAACAACAACAACAACAACAACAACAACAAAACAUUCCAUGCAAGUACCAAAUUUUACUUAUCCAUUCUCCUGGUCAUGACCUAGAGUACCUACAAUUCUUUACAAGAACAGACAUUAUGGGUCCGUGUGGGUACUUCUCUAAGAUGUGUUAAUGUAUAGCCAGGAGUGAAUUUUUUGAUGCCAAAUGCUGUACGAUUUGUUCAUUUGACUCAGCAGUGCCAGAUGCUCAAAAUGUAUCCCUUUGACCAGAGUCUAUUUAAUACAUAGCAAGAGUGGAUGGGGCCAGGCACAAUAACUCAGUUCUAUAAUCCCAGUACUUUUGGGAAGCUAAGGCAGAGGAUCGCUCGAGCCCAGAAGGUUGAGACCAGCCUGGCGACAUAGGGAGACCCCGUCUCUACAAAUAAUGAUAAUUUAAAAAUUAGCCAGAUGUGGCAUGCACCUGUGGUCCCAGCUACUUGGGAGGCUGAGGUGGGAGGAUCACCUGAGCUGAGGAGGUCGAGGCUGCAGUGAUUGUGCCACUGUGCUCCAGCCUGGGUGACACAGCAAACCUCAGUUUCAAAAAAAAAAAAAAAAAAAAAGAGUGGAUGGAAAACGUAGUCUUAACUUCACAACCAUGUGUCCAGGUAAACUUUCAUCAUUAGAAGGGGGCCUGUUAGCAAUGAUGGCAAGAGCUUCUAUUCCUAGCCUGUUAAGGCUUUUGAGUAAAUAUUUGGUUUUACCCCUUCCAUCCAUGCAUACGUUAAUAUAAUCAUGAUUUUUCUCCUUUAGACUAUUAAUGUUGUAAUUUUAUUGGUAGGUUAUUUUUAUGUUGCCAUUUCCUUACAUUGCUGGGAUAAACUCCACUUCAUCAUGAUAUGUUUUUAAAAAUAUAGUGUUGAAUUUGUUUGUUAAUAUUUCAUCUAGAAUUUUUGCAUCUACAUUUAUAUGUCAGAAGGGCUUGUACUUUUAUUUUAUUUAUUUAUUUAUUUUUUUGAGACGGAGUCUCCCUCUAUCCCCCAGGCUGGAUUGCAGUGGCACGAUCUCGGCUCACUGCAAGCUUCACCUCCUGGGUUCAUGCCAUUCUCUUGCCUCAGCCUCCCGAGUAGCUGGGACUACAGCGGCCCACCACCAUGCCAGGCUAAUUUUUUGUACUUUGUUUUUUUUAGUAGAGACAGGGUUUCACCGUGUUAGCCAGGAUAGUCUCGAUCUCCUGACCUCGUGAUCUGCCCGCCUCAACCUCCCAAAGUGCUGGGGAUUAUAGGCGUGAGCCAUCGCUCCCAGCCA
rnacentral:lncRNA from 1 species